GACGAACGCUGGCGGCGUGCCUAAUACAUGCAAGUAGAACGCAGUUGCGAACGGGUGAGUAACGCGUAUGUAACUGCCUGGUAACGGGGGAUAACUAUUGGAAACGAUAGCUAAUACCGCCUACUACCAGAUGUACCUGCGUUGUAUUAGCGCGUUGGUGGUGUAACGGCUCACCAAGGCAACGAUACAUAGCCGACCUGAGGGGGUGAUCGGCCACACUGGGACUGAGGCAGCGACCAGGAGUCUGCGGGAGGCAGGAGUAGGGAAGUUUCGGCAAAGGGGGGAACCCUGAACGAGCAAAGGCGCGGGAGUGGAGAAGGUUUUCGGGUCGUAAAUCUCCGUUGUGAAGGAAGCGGUACUUAACCAGAAAGCGACGGCUAACUACGUGCCAGCAGCCGCGGUAAUUC
rnacentral:rRNA from 1 species